AAGGGGUGCGGCCGAAGACCCCGCCCCCUCCUCUGCUUUGAGCCACUUCUGGGCGUGCGUUCGGGUUGCUGGGGUGUAGAGGUGGCGGCCUCCGCGGCCCCUUUGAUGGAUGUCCAGCCGAUGGACGGGCUGCGUGGGUGUGAGGGGCAGGAGUCCGGCCUCCGAGCAGUGGGCGGUUGCGGACGGGAGGCGCGAGGAGUGCCGGGACACCGAGGUCCGCUGCCCUGCCGGCCCCUACUGGUCUUUUGACUCCCAGGAAGAAGAAUUCCUCUGUGUGGAAAAUGGCAUUUUAAAAUAUCAAAACCAUUGCUUGGGCAUUUUCUAGGAUAACAUUAGGGGCUGAAAUGCUAAAUUCUAUCUUCAAUUUCUACUAUGUAAAGGCUUUUUUACACCUGUACAAGAUUUCAGAAGUGGCCUUUUACCAAGCGCAGGUGAGAUGGAGCCCUUGUUGUCCUUUCACCUUAGGACAGAGUUUCUCCUUCCUCAUAGUUGUGCCUUGCUGUGAUUUUGCAAGGAGCUGAUUCCUCAUGAGCUGAAAGAGUUAACUAUCAAGAAGAGGUUAUCCAUGUCCAAGAUCCUCUGUUUAACGGCAAAGAGACUUUUGAAAGAUUGUCAAAACACAACAGCUUUAGAGUUUAAAGGUUUUCAGGCCAUCACUGUUGUCAUGCUAUUCUUGCUACUGCCAGCCUUUACAUUGGCAUGCGCCACGUGAGUCACUUAGAACCUAAAAGAAGCCCUGAGGAAAACCCUUUCUCAGAAACUGAAUAGGAUCUCCCCUGGACCUCCAUCAUCUCACUGAUGAGACAAAUCUUGAUCCAGAAAAACUUUUGCCUUUUUCUGACUAUGAAUUUCUUCCAAGUCUUCCAUUUAACCUUCUUCAGUAACUUCAUGAUGAUCUCUGUUGAUAAUCUCAUUCCUAAGGAUGUUCUUCCUUCUUCCAUAAGGGGCAUCAGGCUUUAUCUGCCCACAGGUAUGUGAUGAUUCUUCAUGUAUCUUCCUACAGGGAUUAAAGAUGUAACUCUUACCUGGCUGAGGAAUUAAAAACCUGAUUAUAUCAGUAGUUGGAAAAAAUGAUUCACAUUUAUUAAGAGACCCAAAGAUUCAGAGUCCCAGAAAUUAUACAAGAUUCUGUAGAAACAUAAUGGAAAGCAAGAGAUUCAAGGAAAAAAGGAAGGAGCACCCAA